rnacentral:rRNA from 1 species
AGCCGCGGUUAAACCAAGAUGAUCAAAUUAUAUAUCUACGGUGAAAAAAUAGUUAAGCUAAAUGAAAGCUUAUUGAAUGCUUAUAAAAGAGUAAAAUCUAAAUAUAAGUGGGAAAUUCUUUUUAAGCUUAAAUGUUGAAGCUAUGAAGGCCUUGAGGGAAACUGGGAUUAGAUACCCCAUUAUUCUUGGAUAUAAAAUAAUUAAGAUCUACCAGAGUACUACGAAUUAGCAGUUUAAAACUUAAAGAGCUUGGCGGUGUUUUAGACCUCUUAGGGGAACCUGUCUCAUAAUCGACAGUCCACGUUAAACCUGACCCUUUUUUGCACUCAAUUUGUAUACCGUCGUCGUCAGGUAACUUUUUAGAAAGAAGAAGUUAGCAAAUAAAUGAUAAUAAAUUUACACGUCAGAUCAAGGUGCAGUUGAUAAGAGGGGGAGGAUGGGUUACAAUUAUCUAGUUAUAAUUAUGGAAAAGCUUUUGAAAUAAGGCUAUGAAGGAGGACUUGAAAGUAAGAUAAAAUAUAUAAAUGUUCUGAAUUAGGCUCUGAAACGUGCACACAUCGCCC